rnacentral:rRNA from 1 species
UGAGGAAUAUUGGUCAAUGGGCGAGAGCCUGAACCAGCCAAGUAGCGUGCAGGAUGACGGCCCUAUGGGUUGUAAACUGCUUUUAUGUGGGGAUAAAGUGCGUGACGUGUCAUGCAUUGCAGGUACCACAUGAAUAAGGACCGGCUAAUUCCGUGCCAGCAGCCGCGGUAAUACGGAAGGUCCGGGCGUUAUCCGGAUUUAUUGGGUUUAAAGGGAGCGUAGGCUGUCUAUUAAGCGUGUUGUGAAAUAUACCGGCUCAACCGGUGGCUUGCAGCGCGAACUGGUCGACUUGAGUAUGCAGGAAGUAGGCGGAAUUCAUGGUGUAGCAGUGAAAUGCUUAGAUAUCAUGACGAACUCCGAUUGCGCAGGCAGCUUACUGUAGCAUAACUGACGCUGAUGCUCGAAAGUGCGGGUAUCAAACAGG